UACAGAGGGUGCAAGCGUUGUUCGGAAUCAUUGGGCGUAAAGGGCGCGUAGGCGGCAAUUCAAGUCAUCUGUGAAAUCUCCGGGCUUAACUCGGAACGGUCAGAUGAUACUGCUUUGCUCGAGUGCGGAAGGGGCAAUCGGAAUUCUUGGUGUAGCGGUGAAAUGCGUAGAUAUCAAGAGGAACACCUGAGGUGAAGACGGGUUGCUGGGCCGACACUGACGCUGACAGCGCGAAAGCCAGGGGAGCAAACGGG
rnacentral:rRNA from 1 species